GAGACUUUCAGGCAGUCCAGGGCUUGAUGAAGCAGUGAGUACAUGACCAAGGAGCUUGCGAACAGCAACACACUGGGAAACACCUGAAGAACUAAGUGGUCCUGGGCCACAGGGAUUUCUAUCCUAUGAAUGAAACCCUGGGCAUCCCAAACAGCAAAGCUAAAGCAGCUUGUGCCAUAAGAAUCUGCCAGCCUGUUUAUCACUCAGGAAUAAGGGAGCCCAGAAGAGAAACAAUAUGUCAGAAGUGGCAGUUCUCCAGCACCCUCCUCCUGUAUACAUGACUUCUGCAAAAUCUGCCUAAGAAUGUCUCAGAUCUGCCACUGAUAUUUAUAAGAACUAGUCUGUGCAUGAGCCAGAUAACAACUGUAAUCUUUUAGUCAUUUAGUUGAUAUCAGCAAUAAGGAACAAUCGGAGAUGGAACAUGGAGAUUCUACUGUGAGAUGACAAGAUUUAACAAUGAGUGAUUAUAACAGUUCCCACUCUA